CCGCAGUCUCUCCGCGACUCUAGUCUCCUCUUUUCGUGGGUGUAGGGUGCAGAUCUCUGUUCGCGUUUUCUCCUCUCCCAACACAAAACAAAGUUGCAGACCCGUUAUUCCUCGCAAACCAAUCUCUCUUCCUCUCACUUUGAAGCUUCUUCUUCUCUGCUUCAGAUUUCCAGAUGCUAAAGCCGGUGAGGUUCCGAUUGCAAUUAUGUUGUUCGUGCACCCAAUAGCUUGCUAAUUGAACAAGACAUUAUAAUAUUUGUGGAGAAGAUGGUUGCACCGUUCAAAAGACUGCGGAGCAUAACUUUUGUAACCAGCGUUCCUAAGUCGGCUUCCGGAAAGAUUCUGAGAGGGGAGCUUAUACAGAAAGUCCGGUCAAACAUAUGAUUUUAGUGUGUCUUUACUCCUUUCCAAUGUAUUUUUGUUCAUUUCACUUAACAAUAUGAGCGUAUGCUAUCAUAGGACUCAUCCAGUUUGACUUUUCUUUUUUGUCUG
rnacentral:lncRNA from 1 species